rnacentral:rRNA from 1 species
AUGGCAUCUGCGACCAACACCAAGCCCGGGGAGUUUGAGGAGGGGACAUCAAUGACGGCGGCCGAUCUGUGCCGUUCCAAGUGCGUCGAGUUUGACGACCUCGGGAUGAUUCUCACUGCGACGCGCGGCGGCGAAGCGGUGGCCGAGGUGGUGCUCGAGGAGGACGGCGCCGGCGGAGGGGUGCUCCGCGUGCUGCCCAGCGAGAGCUUCCUCGACGGGGAGCACCGCGUGCACGUGGUGGACGUGCAGGGCGAGCGGGAGGCCUUCGUGCUGGUCGUGGAGGUCCGCGAGCGUGAUGGGAGCAUUGCCAGCGUGCGGAAGAUCUCCUGA